UACGUAGGGUGCGAGCGUUAAUCGGAAUUACUGGGCGUAAAGCGUGCGCAGGCGGUUUUGUAAGCCAGAUGUGAAAGCCCCGGGCUCAACCUGGGAAUGGCAUUUGGGACUGUAAGGCUGGAGUAUGGCAGAGGGGACUAGAAUUCCUGGUGUAGCAGUGAAAUGCGUAGAUAUCAGGAGGAAUACCGAUGGCGAAGGCAGGUCCCUGGGCCAAUACUGACGCUCAUGCACGAAAGCGUGGGGAGCAAACAGG
rnacentral:rRNA from 1 species